UACGUAGGUGGCAAGCGUUGUCCGGAUUUACUGGGCGUAAAGGGCGCGCAGGCGGUCGUCCAAGUCGCGUGUGAAAGCCCCCGGCUCAACUGGGGAGGGUCACGCGAUACUGCUCGACUCGAAGGCAGGAGAGGGAAGUGGAAUUCCCGGUGUAGUGGUGAAAUGCGUAGAUAUCGGGAGGAACACCAGUGGCGAAGGCGACUUCCUGGCCUGUUCUUGACGCUGAGGCGCGAAAGCUAGGGUAGCAAACGGG
rnacentral:rRNA from 1 species